UUGACAAGAACUCAGCCACACGCAACCCGAAAGGACGAGUCCAUUCGGCCUUCUGACCGGGGAAAACACGCCCCCGGGACGUGCGGAUUUAAGCGGCCGCAGACGAGUGCAGAUGAGGAGUAUGAAAGGAGCAGAGCAGGCCACUUUGAAACUUUUGACUGUGAAAAGGAAAAGUGGGACAGUGGAUCUCCUCUGGGACAGGCAGAGUGAAAAGUGCAUGGACAGAGCUCAUGAGGAGACCUUCACCAGUCAAGACAUGACCAGCGCAUCUUGUGGCCGACUGCCUUUUUUUCUUCAUGUUUAAUCCUUUUGGAGUAUGCAUCCAUAAAGCAAUCAAUUCAAAUGCACGCUCAGCCACAGAGAGAUGCUUUUUCACUGAAACAUGCCCGACUGAAUGUGCAGUUCCACCCACGCUCUGUCCUUCCAUUGUCUAUCAUAAUGAUCUACAAUACCUUCAACUCCUGGGAAUUAUAUGGGGAAAGAAAGAAGAAGUUGAUGGCUGUUACUUGUGCUUUUUACGUCAGCAAUACCACCUUUAUGUUCCCCCGCUCUCUCCUUGACAUAAACAUUUCACACGAUCUCACGUUAUGAUAUACUGCAUUACUGUAUCUAUUUUUCACGCUGCAAUAUUUUCUUGGGAUGCGCUGAUACCGAUGCUGACACCGUACGUAUUUAUGCGUACUCAGACUCAAAAAAAUGCUCCGAUACUUCGACUACCGAUAUCACCUUACCAGCCCGACAGGUGGAGUAGCACCCAUGUCAAAAUGUGUAGAGAUGACUUUAAAGUAAAUACGAAUGACAAAACUUUGUCAGCUGACUGUAAAUUAUGCUCUACAAAAUGGAGGCUCACCUCCACUCGGGCGGCAACCGAGGUGGCGUUCUCAAGAAGCAGUCUUGGAUUUCUUUUUUUUUUUUUUUCCUUUUUACUCACCUUUUACCUCAUACAGAGGUAACAUAGCAUCUGUGUUCCGGCAAACUUUGUGCUUUCUUCUUACCUCAUCCCACCUCUUUACUCGUUUUGUGUUCGGACUGAGACGCCACGUAACUGAAGUGCCUUGUGUUACAGGCUACAUAGAGUAGAAGUGCAAUGUGUGGUCCAACUGUUCGGAAAGCAUACAGUUGGAUGUUAAAGUGUCAGUAAUAACAAGUGUUAUGUUUGAUGGCAAGACGUUAUGACAUUAUCAAGUAUUGCUACUCGGUUUCGGCGAGUACUCAAAUGUAAGUACUUG